rnacentral:rRNA from 1 species
UACGAGAGGCCCAAACGUUAUUCGGAUUUACUGGGCUUAAAGAGUUCGUAGGCGGCGCAGAAAGUAGGGUGUGAAAGCCCUCGGCUCAACCGAGGAAUUGCGCCCUAAACUACUGUGCUUGAGGGACCUAGAGGUGAGCAGAACUGAUGGUGGAGCGGUGAAAUGCGUUGAUAUCAUCAGGAAUACCGGAGGCCGAAGGCGGCUCACUGGGGGGUCUU